GCCCCAGCCUCCCAGAGUGCUGGGAUUACAGGCAUGAGCCACCACGCCUGGCCAAGACCAUAAAUCUUAAUUAAUCUAGUUCAUAGUCUCAAAUUCAUUCUACUCUCUGAUUUUUAUUUCUCCCAACUUACUGUGUGCACGCACCCCCCCUUUUUAAUGACAUUUCUCUGAUUUGCACUGCCAUCCUCUCUCCUACUUCAGUGAUCCAGCAUCCACAAUUCAUUUUGUCAUAGGUGAGGCUUACCUCUUUCCUGUCAGUUCUUCACCUGUACAGAUUGCUUCCUUUUCUCUUUUUGCACUUAUUGUUUGCAACACCCAAUGACUUCUUGUAGAGAGCCCAAUUCUGUAGUUGAUAAAACCCACACAUGCACGUAUGUUACAUCUGGCUCGGAAUUGGAAGCUCCAUGGAGAAAGGAAAUGGCUUUUGUUUCUUCAGUAUCUUCACACUCCCAAAUGUGCUGAUAUCUUUAGUCGUUCUUAGCUAAAUGAGUCAAUUGAAAUAAUAAUCUGGAGGGAUUUUUUUAAAUCUCAAAAAUUUUCUAAGUCCCAUGUCUCUUAAAUGAAAAAUUGUCAAAUGAAGGAGCCAUUUUCAGGAUUUUAAUUUAUGUAUUAAUGGUACUCUACUUCCACCCCAAAAGGAUUUAAGGUGAGCUUAAAAUAUUAUGAAAAUAAGAUAAGAUUAUUAAUUCCAUCCAUGCAAGCUCUAAAAUCUUCUAUUUCUAGAUACUAAUCUAAACAAUGAAGAGGUUAUUUUUUAAAGACAAAAGGUGUGCUUUAUAAUAUCUCUCAUUAUCAUGUUAAGAAAAAAAACCAAAAACACAGAUAAAAAAUUUCAGAAAUAUUUUUGCGUUUUCUUUGCAUAUCAUACACAUACACACACACACAUACAUACAUACACAGUCACACUAGAACUGUACUGGCAGUGAACAUAGGUUGUUUAAAGUAUAGCUAUUCAACUGUCAUAUAAAGUGAAAUCUAUAUUUUCUCUCUCCCUAUAUGACUAUAUAUUUAACAUCUCUAUGCAUAUGUGUGUGCAUACAUAUGUAUAUGUUAUAUACACACACUCCACAUUAUUAUUUCAAAGGGGAUUUUGCUCCUUCUGGCUACCAGCAAUAACUAGUCAAUAUUUACACUCUUGAAUAUCGAUGACAUCAUGCAUACACAGGAAAGCUGUGGAAAACAUCUCCAUUUUCAAACAGAGUUUUAAUUAUUUGUAAAGACUUCAAUUGUUCACUAAUGUCAUGGAUUGGUCCUCACAGUGUGAAGUGCAACUGCCCAGAUCCCCCACAGUAUUAUAAAUAGUCUUCUAAAGCCGGGUUGAUUGAUGUUUGGCAUAAAACUCUAUUCCUCUGAGCACAUAUAUUCCUUCUGUUCACUAUUUUCAUAGAAAAAUACCAGGGCUGAUUUUUUAUUCAAAUCUCCAAUUUAUGCAGGGUUUAAACUACUAAAUACUUAAAGCCGUUUUCAGAUCUUUCCCCCCUUUUCUGUUAGGUAGGUAACUAAAUCUUUGGCUUCAAUGCAAAUAAGAAUUGGAGAUUUAGCAGAUUCCUGUGGGGGAGAGGAAGAGUUUAUUAAUUAUAUUGAGAAUCAAAUAAUAUGCUUCUUUGACACUAAUGUUCCAUCUUUCUCCACCCCAAGUAUCCUAUGGGACAACUUUAAAGCCUUUAUCAGGGUCUAAAUUACUGCAUUUAUGGUUCCUUAGAAGUAGGAAUUUAAUGAAUGGCAUUCUGAGUUGAAGAGAGAAUUUGAAGGUUUAAGCUGCAACGGUGAAGCAAUUUUUUUCAAAGUAUGUGGCAGGGAUUGUAAUAUAAAACAUCAAAAAAAGCACAAUAAAAUACAUUUUCAUGAGUGUUAAUAAAUUUUUAAUACUGAUGAAAUGUAAAUUUUUCCUUCAUGACCCUUAUCUGCAUUUGACAGAGUCCAACAGAAAAUUUUAAGUACCUGUUUAAAGCAAUUUACAAGAUACUGUGGAGAUUCCCAGCAAUAAAGAAUGUACUAUAGUUAAGCUGGAAUCCAACUCCUGAAUUUCUGGAGCCCUGAAGACCACUUAGUCUUACUCACAAGAAUUGAAUGGAAUGUGAAUCUACACUCAGGUGAAGCCAGGGUAUUUUGAACGUCCCUACAAGACUGAAGCACCACUGGGAAAUAAGUAAUAGAGAUGCCAUCAUUGUGGAGGUCAUAAUGCUUGUCCUGAACACGAGGGGUCUCUAGUGAAAACAUUUGCUGACUGCUGUUCUAUCUAGGAUAUCAUCAGUGUGUAGAUGAUCAGAGUUCAUGUCAGUGUUCCUACAAGCCAAUGAAGAAAAACAGAGAUCUGUGUUCUGAAUGGAAAAAUUCCUACUGAUGCCAGUAAGUGAGCCAUCCAUCUAUGAUGUGUCUAUGGGGAAGAAAGUGACAUGAAUGAGUAAAAUAGAAUAUAUGCUUUAAAUCAUGAAAAUUGAGUCCAGAUGGAAAGGUUAGGAGGAAAUGGAGUGGAAAGGUGGAUGAAGAAGAGUGAGAACUCAUGCAGUCGUUGCGACUUGGUUGACACUUCCUUCCCUGUGACUACAAUUCCAAGUUCAGUACUCCUGAGCUUUUAUAGAUGGAUGAGAAUAUAGGGGGAAGAAACAAGAGGAAGGAGUUUUCUGAAAUCUCGGUGGAGAGGAGGGAGAAAAAAGAUGGGAAAAUGUUACAAGCAUUCUGUUCAUGUUGUAUCACUUAGUGCAGUCUUGUCUUCCCAGCCCACUAGUCUGGAACAAGUCAGUCUCAAACAUAACAACAGACACUGGGGAGCUCUCCAACAAAAGAUCACCUCCCAAAGAACAGGAUGGUGUCGAAGACUGAAUGCCAGCCUGAGGAAACAGAAAUACUACAGAAGCACGCCAGAGCCUGCAGUGUCUCCUCGCUGCCUCUCAAUGAACUGCUAAAAGACCAAGAACUCUGCUGAGAGAUAAGAAGAGGGGAGGGUGUGCUGCAGGUGGUGCUGGGAGGCCCAGACCUUCUCCUGACAUCUGGGGCUGGCUACAGGAAACAGAAACAUCACCCAGGCCUUGGCGCGAGACAGGACAGAGGCAGAUUGUGACUCAGAUCUGCAGGUGGAAAGUGGGCCUUUCGUUUUCUCCUAGGGGUAGAGCAAAGCCAGAGGGCUCAGUCAGAGGAAACCUAAGGCAGUUCAUGAUCCCUUCAACUUUAUACCAUUUCCUCAAAACUGCCUCCAAACAGUGGGCAACUGGAAAGGUGGUCUGACCUCCAGUGAUCACACAGUAUGCAUUAUAACAGAAGGCUGUCACUGUCAAUUGCAUGGCUCCCUCACUAUGCAUUCCUUCUAUCAAUUUACGACAACACACUGUAGUGAGUACCUGCACAUUGCUGGGUAUUUUGGCAGACAUUGAUAGUAGAUGAAUAACACCUGGUACUUGACCUUGAGACGCUCACUGCCUAGUGUGGGGAACCAAUGGUUGCAAUAUAAAGUAUUAACUAGAGGGAUAGAGGACUGCCUGAGGAUCUCUGCACUCAGAGGAAGGGCCAUGAGAUCAGCCAGGACAGUAGGGAGGCAGUGACUCAUGAAAUUAGCAAGUGGUGAGAAGAGGGCAGUAGAUUCAGCGGCUGCUAAAAAAGGUUACUGAACUUUUUGUUUCAUCAAUGCCAAGAAAUUAAUCUGUUUUAGCCUCUUUCAUGGCCUCUGUUUGAAAUUUUUUAACUUUUUUUUUUUUUUUAGAUUUAGGGGUACAAGGACAGUUGUAUUGCAUGAGUAUAUCAUAUAGUGGUGAAGCCUGGGCUUUAAGUGCACCUAUCACCCGAAUAGCGUACAUUGUACCCACUAGGUAGUAUUUCAUUUCUCACCCUUCUUCCACCUUUUGGAAUCUCCAGUGUUUGUUGUUCUACUCUGUAUGCCCAUGUGUACUCAUUGUUUCACUCCCACUUAUAAGUGAGAACAUGUGCUUUUGACUUUCUGUUUCUGAGUUGUUUCACUUAGGAUAAUGCAUGUUCCUGUUUUGAUUCAGUCAAAAUCCUGGGGUCAGCACUGACAAUGUGAUUAACCCCUGUCCUAAAUUCACUGCAGAGGAACUGCUCCCAUAUGACUACUUAUUACCACCCAAGCCAGAAACCACAAAGAUAUUCUGACCUCUCCUCCUUCACUCCCCACCAACUGGUGAGUAAGCUAGUCACCAAGUCUUGAUUCUACUUGCAAACAUCUUUGGAAGGGAUCUCUCACUCCACACAGUCUCUGUCAUUGCCAAGUAUACCCAUUACCUCUGCUCUGUCCUACGGCUCAUCAUUCCUCAUCUACAUGCUGCACCAACCUCCUAACUCCCAUUCCUCCCCCUCCUAGUUCACUGCCAUAGCGUAAUCUUUCUAUAUCACGGAUCAUAUUGU
rnacentral:lncRNA from 1 species